AAGGUGGGGACGACGUCAAGUCAUCAUGGCCCUUAUGUCCUGGGCUACACACGUGCUACAAUGGCCGGUACAAAGUGAGGCGAAACCGCGAGGUGGAGCGAAUCGCAAAAACCCGGUCUCAGUUCGGAUUGGAGUCUGAAACUCGACUCCAUGAAGGUGGAAUCGCUAGUAAUCGCGCAUCAGCAUGGCGCGGUGAAUACGUUCCCGGGCCUUGUACACACCGCCCGUCACACCACCCGAGUCGGGGGUACCCGAAGCCGUUAGUCUAACCGGUCACGGAGGACGACGUCGAAGGUAUGCCUGGUAAGGGGGGUGAAGUCGUAACAAGGUAGCCGUACUGGAAAGUGCGGCUGGAUCACCU
rnacentral:rRNA from 1 species